UACGAAGGGGGCUAGCGUUGCUCGGAAUCACUGGGCGUAAAGCGCACGUAGGCGGCUUUCUAAGUCAGGGGUGAAAUCCUGGAGCUCAACUCCAGAACUGCCUUUGAUACUGGAGAGCUUGAGUCCGGGAGAGGUGAGUGGAACUCCGAGUGUAGAGGUGAAAUUCGUAGAUAUUCGGAAGAACACCCGUGGCGAAGGCGGCUCUCUGGGACGGUACUGACGCUGAGACGCGAAAGCGUGGGGAGCGAACAGG
rnacentral:rRNA from 1 species